AGCGAACGCUGGCGGCAGGCUUAACACAUGCAAGUCGAGCGGGCACCUUUCGGGGUGUCAGCGGCGGACGGGUGAGAAACGCGUGGGAACGUGCCCUCUGGUUCGGAAUAACUCAGGGAAACUUGAGCUAAUACCGGAUACGCCCUUUUGGGGAAAGGCUUGCUGCCGGAGGAUCGGCCCGCGUCUGAUUAGCUAGUUGGUGAGGUAACGGCUCACCAAGGCGACGAUCAGUAGCUGGUCUGAGAGGAUGAUCAGCCACACUGGGACUGAGACACGGCCCAGACUCCUACGGGAGGCAGCAGUGGGGAAUAUUGGACAAUGGGCGCAAGCCUGAUCCAGCCAUGCCGCGUGAGUGAUGAAGGCCUUAGGGUUGUAAAGCUCUUUUAUCCGGGACGAUAAUGACGGUACCGGAGGAAUAAGCCCCGGCUAACUUCGUG
rnacentral:rRNA from 1 species